CAUAAUGUCGUUUACUUUUUUAACGCUUGGGGCGGAACAGAACUGUCAAAUUGACAGUGUGAGUUACAAUGAGUCAAUAUUUCUUUCUGAUUUGGACGCCAUAAGGAGAAGACAUCAUUUUUGUCAAAUAGUAGAAUCAAAGGCCGAUUUGGUGCAAAAGGUUUUUCCCGACACAAAAUUACAAGAAUCACAAUUGGCUAAGUGAACGAGCUAUAUUAGCUGGUACGUAUAAAGAUGUUAACGAGAUACAUGCAGAUAUCUUGGAUAAAAUACCUGGUGAUACUGUUGUAUACCGGUCUGUUGACACAAUUAUCGACCAAGAUCAAGUAGUUAACUAUCCAACCGAAUUUUUGAAUUCAUUGGAUAUAUCUGGAUUUCCGCCACAUUAUUUGCAAUUAAAAGUCGGUGCAACCAUUAUUAUGCUUCGGAAUAUUAAUCAUCCAAAAUUAUGUAACGGAACUAGACUUGUAGUCAAACGAUUGAUGAAUAAUGUUAUCGAAGCAACUAUUUUAAUUGGCAAAUUCAAGAAUGAAGACGUUCUAAUACCGAGAAUUCCAAGGAUUCCACCUGAAUUGCCAUUUGAAUACAAGCGUUUGCAACUGCCCAUUCGUUUAGCAUUUGCAAUAACUAUCAAUAAAUCACAAGGGCGAACUUUAGAAAUAUGCGGGAUGAAUUUAGAAGAACCAGUAUUCACCCAUGGUCAACUGUACGUUGGGAAUCCAACAACAUUAUAUAUUUACUCAAAAACAAAUACAAAAACAAAAAAUAUUGUUUAUGCCAAAACGCUUGAAUAAAGAUAAAGAAUUAAAUAAUAUGAAA